GGAUCCAGACUUUGAUCCUGGCUCAGGAUGAACGCUAGCUACAGGCUUAACACAUGCAAGUCGAGGGGAAACGAUAGAGAAAGCUUGCUUUUUCUAGGCGUCGACCGGCGCACGGGUGAGUAACGCGUAUCCAACCUGCCCAUCACUUGGGGAUAACCUUGCGAAAGUAAGACUAAUACCCAAUGAUAUCUCAAGAAGACAUCUGAAUGAGAUUAAAGAUUUAUCGGUGAUGGAUGGGGAUGCGUCUGAUUAGCUUGUUGGCGGGGUAACGGCCCACCAAGGCGACGAUCAGUAGGGGUUCUGAGAGGAAGGUCCCCCACAUUGGAACUGAGACACGGUCCAAACUCCUACGGGAGGCAGCAGUGAGGAAUAUUGGUCAAUGGACGAGAGUCUGAACCAGCCAAGUAGCGUGCAGGAUGACGGCCCUAUGGGUUGUAAACUGCUUUUAUAAGGGAAUAAAGUGAGUCUCGUGAGGCUUUUUGCAUGUACCUUAUGAAUAAGGACCGGCUAAUUCCGUGCCAGCAGCCGCGGUAAUACGGAAGGUCCGGGCGUUAUCCGGAUUUAUUGGGUUUAAAGGGAGCGUAGGCCGGAGAUUAAGCGUGUUGUGAAAUGUAGAUGCUCAACAUCUGCACUGCAGCGCGAACUGGUUUCCUUGAGUACGCACAAAGUGGGCGGAAUUCGUGGUGUAGCGGUGAAAUGCUUAGAUAUCACGAAGAACUCCGAUUGCGAAGGCAGCUCACUGGAGCGCAACUGACGCUGAA
rnacentral:rRNA from 2 species